rnacentral:tRNA from 1 species
GAUUCCUUAACUUAAUGGUAAAGUGCGUUUUUGAUAAAAACGAUAUUAGUGUUCAAGUCACUAAGGAAUUA